rnacentral:rRNA from 1 species
AAUGAACGCUGGCGGCGUGCCUAACACAUGCAAGUCGCACGAGAACUCUUUAGCUUGCUAAAGAUAGUAAAGUGGCGCACGGGUGAGUAACGCGUGGGUAAUCUACAUUCAAACCCGGAUAACUCCACGAAAGCGGUGCUAAUACCGGAUGAUAUCCCGGAAACCCCGGUUUUUGGGAUCAAAGGUUGCCUCUACAUGUAAGCUACCGUUUGAAGAUGAGCCCGCGUACCAUUAGCUUGUUGGUAGGGUAAUGGCCUACCAAGGCCGCGAUGGUUAGCUGGUCUGAGAGGAUGAUCAGCCACACUGGAACUGACACACGGUCCAGACACCUACGGGUGGCAG